UACGAAGGGUGCAAACGUUGCUCGAAAUUAUUGGGCGUAAAGCGCACGUAGGCGGCUUGGCAAGUCGGAUGUGAAAUCCCUCGGCUCAACCAAGGAAGUGCAUCCGAAACUGCUGAGCUUGAGUACUUAAGAGGAUCGCGGAAUUCCCGGUGUAGAGGUGAAAUUCGUAGAUAUCGGGAGGAACACCAGUGGCGAAGGCGGCGAUCUGGGAAGAUACUGACGCUGAGGUGCGAAAGCGUGGGGAGCAAACAGG
rnacentral:rRNA from 1 species